AAUGUCAAAACACUGCUCUUGCGUUGCACUGAGUCCGUUUUACGUCCAUUUCGCGCCAAAAUGACUCGAACUUGUCCCGACACUCUCCAGAUGUGUCGACAAGUCUCAGAUGCUGAAAUCCACGGGCAACCCAAAAAUCAGGGUUGCUACAAUAUGUUUCUCAAAUAUAAAGUAUAUAUUUUUUUUAGUAAUAUCCUUUUUUAUUUUCACCUAUAUUUUUUUUCAAAUAUUCUCAAAUAUUUUUUUAGUAAUAUCCUUUCUCAUUUAUCUCUGUCAUCGGUACCGGCACAUCGUCAUCGUCUUCCUCAUCGUAUUCGUCGUCACCGGCUCCGGCACAUUAUCGCCUACGCCGCCUUUGCCACCUUCACCACAUAUACUACUACAGUUUUUCUCAGAUGUUGUAGCAAU
rnacentral:lncRNA from 1 species